UACGGGGGGGUGCGAGCGUUUGUCCGGAAUCACUGGGCGUAAAGGGGCGCGUAGGUGGUCUGAUAAGGGUGUGGUGAAAGCCCGGGGCUCAACCCCGGGUCGGCCGUGCCGACUGUUAGACUAGAGUGCUGUAGGGGCAGGCGGAAUUCCGGGGUGUAGCGGUGGAAUGCGUAGAGAGCGGGAGGACACCGGUGGCGAAGGCGGGACUCUGGGCCUACCCUGACGCUGAGGCGCGAAGGCGUGGGGAGCAAACGGG
rnacentral:rRNA from 1 species